CGGGGACGAAAAUUUCUUAAGUGGGGGAGAGUUGUGACAGCCCAAAAUUGACCCUAGUCGGGAAGUGGUUUCGAGACCACAAAACCGAGUCAUAAAAAUAAUUGAUUUCCAUAUUCUAUGCUUAUUAUGUGUGUACAUGAGUAUGUGGAAGUUUCAUUCUCCAAUUUUGCCAAUUGCAUGAGAAAUUAUUAAAUAGGGAUUGAUAUGAGACAUGGUG
rnacentral:lncRNA from 1 species